ACCUCAGUAGUGUAAUGGAUCAGCACGGCAAGCCGGAUAACUGUAAGUGUAGGUUCGAAUCCCGCAUGAGGUC
rnacentral:tRNA from 1 species